rnacentral:tRNA from 1 species
GGAGAGAUGCGUGAGUGGCUGAAACGUGCGGCUUGCUAAGCCGUUAAGGGGGUUUUGCCUCCUUCGAGGGUUCGAAUCCCUCUCUCUCCGCCA